GAUGAACGCUGACAGAAUGCUUAACACAUGCAAGUCUUUGGCGAAGCUGUGCUUGCACAGCCUAGCCAAGGCGGACGGGUGAGUAACGCGUAAGGAACUUGCCCUGCAGUCAGGGAUAACAGACGGAAACGACUGAUAAGACCUGGUAAAGUCAGGCGGACUCAUGUCCAGCCUGAUGAAAAGAGAUGCUGCAGGAGAGCCUUGCGUCCUAUUAGCUUGUUGGUGGGGUAACGGCCCACCAAGGCGAUGAUAGGUAGCCGGCCUGAGAGGGUGGACGGCCACAAGGGGACUGAGAUACGGCCCUUACUCCUACGGGAGGCAGCAGUGGGGAAUAUUGGAAAAUGGGGGCAACCCUGAUACAGCAAUUCUGUGUGCACGAUGAAGGUUUUCGGAUUGUAAAGUGCUUUCAGCAGGGAAGAAAAAAAUGACGGUACCUGCAGAAGAAGCGACGGCUAAAUACGUG
rnacentral:rRNA from 1 species